GAUAGCGCCGUGUCAGCGGACGCGGUAAUACGGGGUGUGCAGGCGUGAAGCGGAAUUACGGGGCGUAAAGCGCACGCAGGCGGGUGGAUAAGUUAGAUGGUAAAGCCCCGGGCUCAACGUGGGAAUUGCAUUUAAAACUGUCCAGCUAGAGUCGUGUAGAGGGGGGUAGAAUUCCAGGUGUAGCGGUGAAAUGCGUAGAGAUCUGGAGGAAUACCGGUGGCGAAGGCGGCCCCCUGGACAAAGACUGACGCUCAGGUGCGAAAGCGUGGGGAGCAAACAGGAUUAGAUACCCCAGUAGUC
rnacentral:rRNA from 1 species